UUUUUUUCUGUUCUUUGUUCACAUGUUAACUCGAUUUGUUGUUCCUCAUUCUUUGCUAUAUGUGUUUAAGUCUGAGCUCUUUAAUUUUGUUUCACAUUACUAAGUUUUGUUGAUGUUCCUGCUUAUCAGGUUUUUUCCCUACUUUGUGCAAAACUUCUGAAACUUGUUUAAACUCUCAAAGUAUGACUUUGAAUCAAUGUGUUUGUCGUUACAUAUGUUUGCCUCUCUCAAUGAUUUCUCACUUCUGUUUAUUUGAAACCCUAAAACUUGGGGGUUUCUCUUUGGUAGAUGGCACUAUAGUUUCACUUUGGAUUCCUAGGUUUCCAGACUCACAGUGAGCCUGUAAUCAAACUCAAAUCCUACUUGCAUGUGGUUCUGAUACUUUCAUUGUUAGAAUCUUCUCUUAUUUAAACUAUAUGCUUUAUAUAUGAGGAAAAACAUCCCUUUCAAAAGAUUUUACCAAGAAUUGAUUUUGAAAUCCCUUUAAUCAUGCUAGUGAUUCAUCACUGAUUUCUUGCGAUUGAAUCCCUUUUACCCUACUGGCUAUUUAUUUUCAUCCUUUUGUGAUGUUUUUCUUAAAUACUUGGUCUUGUGCAUCUCUUCUGUGAUUUUGUACCAAAGUUUGAAUUAUUCUUUCCUUAAUUACCUGAAGUUCUUUGUGAUUCCAAUUGGAUAUGGGAUCAUUUUGACUAAUAUUCCAUCUUUCCUAAAUCACCAACUAUGUACUUGACCCUACUUGUGCACUACAUGGUUUGCUUACCUAGAAACUGAUUUCUCUCCUUAUUCCAUCUCAGUUAGUCGUUUGACCUAGACUCCCAUAAUUAAAGGAGUCUAGUUAUCUUAAUUGAUACUAAUUGAUUGGUUUUUAUGUUUGUGCACUCUUCGUCUGCCUUACUUGUUUUCAAAAACUAUAUAAGGACUUAGCCCCCAAGCCCCCACCCCCAUCCUCUUUCAACGAGUCAAUUCACACAUCAUCAGAAAGACACGAAAUUGAACUCACACACUGAAACACACUUUCUUCCAAUAAUGUCUCCUAAUCCUGCUCAGUUUGAGAUCUUUUGAAACUGUUGUUCACAACUUGGCUCUUUCAAAGCUACUUUUGCUUACUUAUUUUCUUUGAAACCAGUACUUUCUUUAUUUAAAUCUUCUGCCUCACCCCCUAUGUGUUUACAUUACAGCUUCAGACUUCUUGUUUACUUUACUGCUAAUGUUCUGUAAUUUGUGCUAAAUAUUUCCCUUCUUUGCUUCUGUUUCUGUUAUGAAUCCCCCACUCCAAUUGCCUUCUAUGUCUUGAGUUAAGCUUUUAGUAUGACAGUAUUCUAAUUACUGCCCAGGACAUGGUUUGAUCCAUAAUAGAUCCUAACUCUCAACGUAUGACUAGCAGGCUAGUCAGGGGUGUGUCAUCAUCCCGAUUGCUGGGCAUGACCACCAGCCUGCCAUGUCCCUCUUUGAUUCCCUUCCCCCUUGUGCACUUACGCUUAUUCUUAGACUCUUAAGUUCUGCCCCUCUCUUAUGAUCCUUGCUUUGGGACCUUGAGUUAUCUCUGAACUUGGACAUCUGAGGGCUGGAAUUUCCACACACACAAUGUUCUUAAUUCUGCAAUAUUUUUUUGGGGUGUAAGCACUGCCCGGAGCCCUUUGAGACUCUUGGAAACUUUGACACACCCCCAAAUAUGAGAAAGUCUUUUGGAAAUCUGAUCCUAGAAGUUAGUUUAUCUCAUAAUGUUGGACUUUGAGUCUGAAUUAGGCUGUUUGGAUGUAGUUGGAGCUUCUGAUGUAAUUUUUAUCCCCUUGUGCAAUUACACUUAUUCUUAGACUCUUAAGUUAUGCCCCUCUCUUAUGAGCCUUGCUUUGGGACCUUAAGUUCCCUCUGAACUUGCAUAUCUGAGGGCUGGCAUUUCCACACACACUAUGUUCUUAAUUCUGCAUUGUUUUUUUAUGUAAGCGAUGCCUAGAGCCCUAUGAGACUCUUGGAAAAUUGGACACACCCCCAAAUAUGAGAAGGUAUUUUGGAAAUCUGAUCCUGGAAGUUGGUUUAUCUUAUAUUGUUGGACUUUGAGUCUGAAUUAGGCUGCUUGGAUGUAGUUGGACCUUCUGAUGUAAUUUUUAAUUUUCUUUUUUUCUGAUUCAUUCGGGUCUAUAAUAAUUUGUAAUAAC
rnacentral:lncRNA from 1 species